rnacentral:misc_RNA from 1 species
UCCGGUUUGUCACCGGCAGUCUCCUAUGAGUCCCCGACAUUACUCGCUGGCAACUAUUCACAAGGGUUGCGCUCGUUAAUGGACUUAACCAAACAUCUCACGACACGAGCUGACGACGGCCAUGCAGCACCUGUCACCUUGCUCAAUAAAGCACUCUCUGCUUUCGCAGAAAUUCAAGGGAUGUCAAGCCCUGGUAAGGUUCUUAGCUUAUCAUCGAAUUAAAGAACAUCAUCCGCUACUUGUGCGGGUCCCCGUCAAUUCCUUUAUGUUUUAAUCUUGCGAUCGUACUCCACAGGCGGGAUGCUUAACGCGUUAGCUUCGCUACUGAAGGGGUCGAUACCUCCAACAGCUAGCAUCCAUAGUUUACGGCGUGGACUAC